UACAGAGGGUGCAAGCGUUAAUCGGAAUUACUGGGCGUAAAGCGUGCGUAGACGGUAGCGUAAGUCGGGUGUGAAAGCCCCGGGCUCAACCUGGGAAUGGCAUUCGAGACUGCUCUGCUAGGGUGCGGAAGAGGGGAGCGGAAUUUCCGGUGUAGCGGUGAAAUGCGUAGAUAUCGGAAGGAACACCUGCGGCGAAAGCGGCUACCUGGACCAUAACCGACGCUGAGGCGCGAAAGCUAGGGGAGCAAACAGG
rnacentral:rRNA from 1 species